rnacentral:tRNA from 1 species
AAGGCCCUAGCUUAAUAAAAGUACUUAAGUUGCAUUUAAGUGAUGCAGGGUAGUGUCCUGCGGGCCUUA